UAACCCUUUGACCAGACAACCUGUUUCUGAGAAAACCUCAGAACAGAGGCAAGUGGCGGAGAAGUUCUGCGUGAGCCUCAGCCGGACACGGAGAGCCAAUGCUGAAACUUUCGGUUUUGGUUUUUGUAUUUGGCUGGCGUCUUGGCCAAAAGCUAAUUUGAAUAAACCCACUUUGGACUGGCAGCUGUGAGCUAGUUUUCAGGCAGUCAACUAAAAAAGCAGUCUUUAAAGGAGAACUUUGGCUAGCCGGUGAUACUACGUCCACGUUCUCUUAAAAUGAGAAAAGAGUCCUAUACCUCAGACUUCAGAAUUGCAAUGAUACGUCCCCAUGGAUCCUGUGACAGGAGAAAGCUGAGCUACCUAUGGAACUGAACCAAGAGACCAUGUAUAGGGAGCUGGAGGAACAAGGGAAGAGAGGUGAGAUGAGGCUGGAGCCCAUCAUGCGUCGUCUCAUUUACCUUAUUACGACCUUUUGUGGGAGGUAACUAGACUUUUGGGGUGGUCACUUUGUAGGGCAUAGAGAUGUUGAAUUAUAAUCCUGUACACCUGACACUUGCAUAAUCCACAGAAAUUUUUUAUUCUGAGAGCAGUGGGACACCCUUGCAGAGUUGUAAAGGGGAGUAAUGUGUUCAGACGGAUGUGUUUGUAAAGAUCACGUGAGCUGCCAAGCGGAGAAAGGAGCAGACUGACCAGGAGAGCGUGUGCCAGACCAAGUGGGAAGCAGUGUGGUAGAAAGGUGUCGAUCCAGAGCGGAAGUGUGGUGCAGAGGGAAUGUGGGAGGACUUGGGAUGUAUUCUGGGGGUUGAAUAGACAGGACUUGGGGAACAGCUUAGAAGUGAAAGCAUAGGAGGAGAAGGGGAAGGCAUCCAGGAGGCCUCCAGGUUCUGGCUGUGGUCCCUGGGCAAGUGAUGGGGCCGUUUACCAUCACCAAGUCUGGGAAGAUGAGGUGGCAAGGAGAGGCCAGCAAGGAAAUCGGAGUGCUGGGUGAUAGGUAUUCUCAAAGAUGGGAGCAGGAUAUUAUGGGCAUCCAGAGGGGCAGUAAUUCACUCAGCCUGGAGAGAAAAGGAGAUGCUUUCUGCCACAUACAAUGCUUGGGAUGUGUCCUGAAUGUACUGUAUUUAUAUUCACAUCAUUUUUAAAAAACACAAACAUAAUGGCUCAUUUAAAAAAUCCAACAAGGUCUGUUUGGAUUGGCUGGUUCCUCUUCCGACUGAGUCAGUGAUUUAUGUGAUAGUGAUGGUGAUGGCGGAGAGCUCUUCGUUGAGCUGUCUCUCUAAACUUAGAAGGCCGCAUUAGUCUUAUAUUUGGAACGCCGUCUCAUUCAUUCAGAGGUUCUUGAAUGCUGACUGUACUCUAGACCCCAGAGACACAGUGGGGAACGGGACAGCUUUAGUCGUCGUUCCGGUGGAGUUUACAUUCUAGGGGGAGAAAUGAGAAACUAAGCAGAUACACAUAAGCAUCAUAAGCCGUAGUUGUGAUCAGUGCUCUGACACCACGGUACAGGGUGCUGGGCUCCCAUAACCCUGACCUUUCUAAUUCAGGCCUGGUACCUAAAAUGAAAAAUGCAGGCACUGGUGCCCUUUGACCCUAAAUAAAUACCGGUGGGGAAUAUUUGACGGUUAAUCCUUGUAUUUAAGUUGGCCUUUGCUAUCCUUAUGGAUUCUGCACAAACCCCAAAAGAAGAAAAUAAAUACAUGACGGCCGAGUGUCAAUAAUGUUACUUCAGUAUAAGAUCGAGCGGCUUCGGAUUCUACUUACUGUAUUCCUGAAGUCACUGAAUACCCGAGCGGGAUUUAAAAAGGUUUCCAGUGUAAAGAAGUCAAAGAAAAGUCCACGUGUUCCUCCUCUGGCUGGCACAGGCCUGUUCUUUGGCAUCCUGGCAGCCUGACGGAGCUCAGCACUCCCAUGCUGUACGUAGUUCGGGGAAUUGCUGUAGUUGAGCAAACUUUCUCUGCAAUGUGUUGAACAGUAAAUAUUGUGGGCUCUUAUGGGCCAUACAGUUUCUGUUGAAACUACUCGACUCUGCUUCUGUAGCAUGAAAUUAGCCCUAGACAACACAUCAGUGAAUGUGCAUGGUUUUCUCCCAAUAAAACUUUAUUUACAAAAACAGGUGGCGGCUGCGUUUUGCUGCUGACCACUGCCGUAGUGCCUCGUGAAUUUGGAUGCUCUGUCCGUCACGGUUCAGUUGCCGAGAACAGAAUCUACUCCGGCCAGUUGCACCAGGAAGCUCUGCAUUCGAGGAUAUUACAGGAUUUACAGUAUCGACGGGACAGUUGAAGAGCUAGACUCCAGGCUGAGUUUCUAGAAACACCUCAGAGCCCCACUUAGCAGCCUCGGUGUAGGGGGGCUGGGCUUCUGCCCUGGAAGCAAGCUGCCAGCUCCUGAAUGUCCCCUGCUGGAGCUUUAAUGACCAGCUGACUAGCUGCCUCGGGCUCGGCCUCGCUCUCUGUAGUUAGCUCAGACGUGGGAGUUCAUCCGAUUGGCAGGGCUGUACCUUCGCGGAGCCCAGGAUAUUCAGCUGUUAGCCCUUGUGUUGCAGGGGGUACAGGAACGUCCUGCUAACAGGAAGUUGGAGCGGAUUUCGGAUGAGCACGUCUGCAGCAGCUUCACCUCCAGCCUCUCCCCAGUCUUUGCAUACUCAUAUUUCCAGAAAGUGCUAGCAGCAACGGGACGCAGUCUCCCAUAUCUCCCGGUAUAACGCAGCUACCCCUUCUGGAAAUAGAAGGGCAGGCGCUUGCUUUCUCCCCAUGAGGCCUGUAGGUCACAGCAUCAUCACAGGCCUUAUCGAGGGACCCAGCACACUCAGGAGUCAGGUGGCCUCUCUCCUCUCCUAGAGAGGGGGAGAGUAGGGGAGACCGAGCUCCCCAGCAACCUGGAGCCUAACAGCUCAGCUCUAAGAAGCUCACAUCCAUAUUUGUCGUCCUCUCUCCACGAGCAAAUUCCCUCCAUCUCUGAGCAUUCCCAGUUUCUCUCCUCUUGAGAUCUCCUCCUGGCCCCGCAUUCCCUUGUAGCUGCUGGCCUCUUCUCUCCUUAGCGAGGCUUUCCCCUUUCCGACGCCCCCACCUCUUGUAUGUAGACUGUUGAGCACACCACCGGCCCCUUUGGGGAUUCCUCUUUAAUUGCUCCCGGGGGUCCUUGAGGUGCUAAGUGCUGUGGGCACUGACCCCUGCCUGAAGCCCUCUCGUCCUUAGGCUCCUGGUCCCAUCCUGGGUCUGAUUUCCCUGCUGCUCUGCUGCCCCUCCUCGUCCAGCCCCCCUCUGGCCUCAGCUGUGUCUUCAGCUCUCGGCUCUCCUGCGUAUUCCCAGGUGCUCACGAUUUCAUCUCCGGAGCCCCGGACCUACACGUGUGAGUGACUCCUGGGCAGCUCCUCUUCUAGGUCACGGGCAAGCUCCCUGUGUCGCAGACCAGAGGAAUAGAUCACCCACCCCCACCCCGCUCCCAUCAGCGAAUGGCAGCACACCCACCAGGUUACACAAGGCACCGGCUUGGGAGGCAUACCGGCUUCUCUGUGAGCCCCCAUGACUCCCUGCAUAUCUUUGUGUCUCCCCUGUCCCUUUCGUGCGGGGCUCUGUGUCCUCUCCUGGGUUACUGCCACAGCCUCUCAGCGGUGGUUCUCCCAGAGUAGAGCCAUAAGCGCCCCUUCUUCCAGCCUGGUCUCCUGUCCUGCAGCCAUGUGAAGCCGUCCUGAGCAAGUCAGAUGGUGUCUCUCCUACUCACCCCUGCCAGGGGCUCUCUGCCAGCACAACCACCUCCAGAGUCCUGGGCGCCUGGGUGGCUCAGGGUCCCUCCUGAGCGCUCCUGCAGCGCCCCUUUCCUGCGUGGAGCACCAGUGCGGUGAUCGUCGACUGAUCCUGGCUUCACAUCGCUAAAACCCGGAGGUCGUGGUGCAGAGUAAGUUUCCCACAACCCUUAGUUACGACUAACAGCGAAGCUUACUAAUGAAACAAGAGACCAUUGCUGUUACGUGUAUUCGCCACAAGGUGGCGCUGUUCAAUAGGAAAGAAGAAGGCUCUUCAAGGCCGAGGGAUUCAAGCCCUGGAUGCCUUCAUCUGAAAUGAGUUCUAUUUCAGAGGCAAUGAGUUCAGCAGUAAGGUUUUUCUGGGGUAACUACAUGGACAGACUGAGAAUUAUAUACGUACAUGCAUUUCAUUCUCAAAUUAUUACCGAUCCUUAUUUCACUUACUGCGGUUUGAAAGCCUCUCUUCCCACGUGUUCAAAAUGUUUUUAAAAAGCACCUAUGAACUCCUAAUUCUAGGGCAACACACUCUUCAGGAAGGUUCUCAGUUCCAAGUGUGGUUUCUACUGAAUGCGUAUCACUUUUGCAUCACUGUGAAUUCAAAACGUUGUCAGUCAAACCGUCAUAAAUCGGGAACCAGCUGCAUUACUCUGAAGGCUUUCACCUAACGGGAAAGGACCACCCACAUUCUGGGGUGGGGUGGUCUGUUUGACUCACAGUCUACCCCUUUAUGUGGUAAUCCUGUCUAAAAAAUACCUUCCCAAGCAGCAUCUGGACGGGCGUUUGAGCAACAGCUGGGCUCAGCCAGGUAGACACAGAAAGUUAACUCUCACAAAGAUCUAGGUGAGAAGAGUCAACUGAGUAUGAAAGAAAAGGUCGCAGUGGUUUUGCAUGUAGCCAGGGACAGGGGGCUAGAGAUCUGAUGGCAGUAAGCACCCCGAGGAAUCCCUAGGCCAUUUCUGAGGAAGAGGGGCUGUCCUGGGAUGGGAGCCACUGGCUGCUGUCCUGAGCUCUCCUCCUGCCUGGGACGUCUUCUGCUGGGGGUCUUACCGGCACUGGGGCUUGGAAGGAAUAAUAACCUUGAGGACACAGCAGUUUCCAUCCUGUACCGUUUAUGUUUCAAAAGGAGGUGGAGGUUUGGGACAGUCCUGAGGAAGGGGUUUGGCUUCCUAUUUUUCUGAGAUUGUUGAAGCGUCAGAAGGGAACUUAUGCCAAUGUCCCCUGCCACACCCAUGCACCCACCCCUACCUGUCCUGUCUUCUGCCCUCUUUCAUUUUCACUAGGUAACAUGGUCUCUUUUCUCCCCUGCAAAGGCAGACCUCUCC